rnacentral:tRNA from 1 species
UGGGUUGCCCGGGAUUCGAACCCGGAACUAGUCGGGAAUUCCUCGCUUCAUCCAAAUGUGUAAAAGAUUCUA